GCCUGAGUGGCUCAGUCGGUUAAGCGUCCGACUUCAGCUCAGGUCAUGAUCUCAUGGUUCGUGGGUUCGAGCCCCACGUCGGGCU
rnacentral:tRNA from 1 species